rnacentral:rRNA from 1 species
AGUUCGAUUAUGAAUGAUUGAACGCUAUGGACGCUUACACAUGCAAGUCGAACGGCAGCACGGACUCUGUCCGUCUGGUAUGAGUAUGAAAUGGUGAGUAAUGUACUGAAAUGUGUCAGUAGCGGGGAUAACUACGCGAAAGCGUAGCUAAUACCGCAUACGCCCCGGGUGGCGGGGACCUUCUUCGGGCCUCGCACUAUUAGAGCGGCUGACAUCGGAUUAGCUGUUGCGUACCCGGCUCACCAAGGCGACGAUCCGUAGCUGGUCGAUAGGAAUAUCACGCCACACCGGGACUGAGACACGGCCCAGACUCUCACGGAGGCAGCAGUGGGGAAUUCUGGACAAUGGGGAAACCCUGAUCCAGCCAUCCCUGCGUGCGAUGAAGGCCUCGCUGGUUAAAGCACCCUUUUGGCAGGAAAGAAACGGCAUGGGAUAAUACCCCGUAACUGAUUGGCACUGGCAGGAAUAAGCACCUACACCACGUGCCAGCAGCCGCGGUAAUACGAAAGUAAGCGCGGGACCGGAAUUACCGUAAAAGCGUGCGGCAAGGUUCGGAAAGAAAGAUGAUGUAAAUCCAGAGCUUAACUUGAACUGCAUUUUAACUACCGAGCGAGGUCAGAGUAGGUGGACUCCGCGUAUAUGAAAUGCGUAGAUAUGCGGAGGAACACCGAUGGCGAAGGCAGCCUCCGGGACAACACUUGACGCUCAUGCACGAAAGUGGAGUAAACAGAUUAGAUACCCGGUAGUUCACGCCCAAAACGAUGUCAACUAGCUGUUGGGGCUCUGGCCUUGGUAGCGGCAGCUAACGCGUGAAGUUGACCGCCUGGGGAGUAUUAAUAGUCGCAAGAUUAAAACUCAAAGCACGACGUGGGGACCCGCACAAGUAAGAUGAUGUGGAUUAAUUCGGAUGCAAUGAAACCUGCAUCACCCGUGGAUACGUCUGGAACCUGAAGAGAUUUGGAGGUUUCGCAAGAGAACCGUUACAGGUGCUGCAUGGCUGUCGUCAGCCUGUGUCGCAGAUGUUGCCAGUCUCAACGAGCGCAACCCUUGUCAUUAGUUGCUACGAAAGGCACCGACGAGAUCGCCGGGUGAUGCAAACCGAGGUACGGGACAUCGUCGUCCUCAUGGCCCUUAUGGUGCAGGGAUUCACACGUCAUACACUGCCGGGACAGGAGGAUCGCCAAACCCGCGAGGGGAGCCAAUCCCAGAAACCCGAUCGAACUGACCGCAGUUCAACUCGACUGCGGGGUAGUCGAACGCACCGUGAGAUCGUACGUCGCGGUGAAUGCUGCCCUGGUCUGAAGACACCGCCCGUCGCAGCACCAUGGCGGGCUUUACUCAGGAAGGAAGAAGCCCUAACCGCAUGAGGCAUUGCUCACGGUAGAUUCCAAGACUGGGGUGUCGUAACAGCGGU